UACGGAGGGUGCAAGCGUUGUUCGGAAUUAUUGGGCGUAAAGGGCAGGUAGGUGGUCCCAAAAGUCUACUGUGAAAUCCCCGGGCUUAACUCGGGAAGUGCGGUAGAUACUCUGGGACUAGAGUGCUGGAGGGGUUCGUGGAAUUCCCGGUGUAGCGGUGAAAUGCGUAGAUAUCUGGAGGAAUACCGGUGGCGAAGGCGGCAUCCUGGACCAUUACUGACGCUGAGGCGCGAAAGCUAGGGGAGCAAACGGG
rnacentral:rRNA from 1 species